rnacentral:rRNA from 1 species
CCUACGGGUGGCAGCAGUGAGGAAUAUUGGUCAAUGGACGAGAGUCUGAACCAGCCAAGUAGCGUGAAGGAUGACUGCCCUAUGGGUUGUAAACUUCUUUUAUAUGGGAAUAAAAUGUUCCACGUGUGGGAUUUUGUAUGUACCAUAUGAAUAAGGAUCGGCUAACUCCGUGCCAGCAGCCGCGGUAAUACGGAGGAUCCGAGCGUUAUCCGGAUUUAUUGGGUUUAAAGGGAGCGCAGGUGGAUUGUUAAGUCAGUUGUGAAAUUUUGCGGCUCAACCGUCAAAGUGCAGUUGAAACUGGCAGUCUUGAGUACAGUAGAGGUGGGCGGAAUUCGUGGUGUAGCGGUGAAAUGCUUAGAUAUCACGAAGAACUCCGAUUGCGAAGGCAGCUCACUGGACUGCAACUGACACUGAGGCUCGAAAGUGUGGGUAUCAAACAGGAUUAGAUACCCCAGUAGUC